GAUGAACGCUGGCGGCGUGCCUAAUACAUGCAAGUCGAGCGAACGGACGAGAAGCUUGCUUCGCUGAUGUUAGCGGCGGACGGGUGAGUAACACGUGGAUAACCUACCUAUAAGACUGGGAUAACUUCGGGAAACCGGAUCUAAUACCGGAUGAGAUUUUGAACCGGAGGGUUCAAAAGUGAAAGACGGUCUUGCUGUCACUUAUAGAUGGAUCCGCGCUGCAUUAGCUAGUUGGUAAGGUAACGGCUUACCAAGGCAACGAUGCAUAGCCGACCUGAGAGGGUGAUCGGCCACACUGGAACUGAGACACGGUCCAGACUCCUACGGGAGGCAGCAGUAGGGAAUAUUCCGCAAUGGGCGAAAGCCUGACGGAGCAACGCCGCGUGAGUGAUGAAGGUCUUCGGAUCGUAAAACUCUGUUAUUAGGGAAGAACAUAUGUGUAAGUAACUGUGCACAUCUUGACGGUACCUAAACAGAAAGCAACGGCUAACUACGUG
rnacentral:rRNA from 1 species